GUCGAACGAGCGAGAGAGAGCUUGCUUUCUCGAGCGAGUGGCGAACGGGUGCGUUACGCGUGAGGAACCUGCCUCAAAGAGGGGGACAACAGUUGGAAACGACUGCUAAUACCGCAUAAGCCCACGGCUCGGCAUCGAGCAGAGGGAAAAGGAGCAAUCCGCUUUGAGAUGGCCUCGCGUCCGAUUAGCUAGUUGGUGAGGUAAUGGCCCACCAAGGCGACGAUUGGUAGCCGGACUGAGAGGUUGAACGGCCACAUUGGGACUGAGACACGGCCCAGACUCCUACGGGAGGCAGCAGUGGGGAAUAUUGCACAAUGGGGGAAACCCUGAUGCAGCGACGCCGCGUGGAGGAAGAAGGUCUUCGGAUUGUAAACUCCUGUUGUUGAGGAAGAUAAUGACGGUACUCAACAAGGAAGUGACGGCUAACUACGUGCCAGCAGCCGCGGUAAAACGUAGGUCACAAGCGUUGUCCGGAAUUACUGGGUGUAAAGGGAGCGCAGGCGGGAAGACAAGUUGGAAGUGAAAUCCAUGGGCUUAACCCAUGAACUGCUUUCAAAACUGUUUUUCUUGAGUAGUGCAGAGGUAGGCGGAAUUCCCGGUGUAGCGGUGGAAUGCGUAGAUAUCGGGAGGAACACCAGUGGCGAAGGCGGCCUACUGGGCACCAACUGACGCUGAGGCUCGAAAGUGUGGGUAGCAAACAGGAUUAGAUACCCUGGUAGUCCACACUGUAAACGAUGAUUACUAGGUGUUGGAGGAUUGACCCCUUCAGUGCCGCAGUUAACACAAUAAGUAAUCCACCUGGGGAGUAC
rnacentral:rRNA from 1 species